GCAGCAUCUCCUGCUUGUUCAGAGUGAGCGGUCUGUCUACCAGAAGAUGGUUGCUGACUGCAAGACCACCUGUCAAGACCUGCAGUUGUCUCUGGGGGGCCCUACUGAACCAGCAAGUAAAGACAUCAGGAUGCAUUACAGCUUUGGUUUUGCUCAACAAGUGCACUAUCCUUCUGACCCUAUGCAGCCAGGUCCUAUCUACUUUUUAACUCCUCGCAAGGGUGGCUUGUUUGGUGUCUGAUGUGAAGGAAUACCACAACAAGUCAACUACUUGAUUGAUGAAGGCAUGUCAUCCAGCAAAGGCAGCAGCACAGUCAUCAACUACAUGCACCAUUUCUUCACCAACUACGGAGUUGGGGAAACACGUGUGGACCUGAAUUGUGAUAACUGCAGUGGCCAAAACAAGAACAAGUUUGUGCUCUGGUAUUGUGCCUGGCGUACCAUGCACAACCUCCACCACAGUCUGGACCUUCACUUCCUGAUCACAGGCCACACCAAGUUUGCCCCCGACUGGUUCUUCAGCCUCAUCAAGCAGCGCUUCAGAAAGACCAGAGUGAACAAUUUGUCUGAGAUUGCUGGUGUUGUGAAGGACAGCACUGUGACAGGAGUCAACAUCCCACAGCUGGUUGGACUGGAGGACGGUACGGUGCUGGUGGAAAGCUAUGGCUGGCAACAACACCUGACUCCGUACUUCAGGCCGCUGCCACAGAUCAAGCAGUACCAGCACUUCAGAUGAAUAUCAUUUUCAUGGCAUUCUUUGAUGCUCUGGAGCCUGGUGUUGUUGUCGCCAAGGAGCAUUCUGACUCAGUCGGGACCAGGUUUCAGCUGCUCCGCAACACUGACAUCCUUCCUCCCAUAGAUGGUCUGCCUGUACAAGCACCACCUAGACUGGACACAGCUAGACAAACGUAUCUUUUUGAGAAGAUCAGGGAGUUCUGCGACGAAAAGGCCAUGGACAUCACAUGCCCUGCACCAAAGUCAAGGGCAGGACAGAAACAAGCUAUCCGAAUGUAGAUUCCCUUGUUCAUGCGUGGUGUGGACUGGGGGAAGAGUUCUCAGUAAUCCGGACUAUCUGCAGUAUCUCUAUUCACAUAACUCUCUCCUACCACACAGGCCAUACGUUACUGCUACAAUUUUCUUUUUAUCCUGCUGCUCAGCCACUUUACCCCUGAUUGAAUACUUAUAACUACUACCUCCUGUAUCACCAGUAUCACUGAUAUCUGUUUUUGUUUUUUUGACACUUUCUGUUUUUGAUAUUGCUAUGCAAAUAUGCAAGUAACCAUUUCAAUGCACCGUGUACACCUUCUGUAUCCUGUGCAUGUGACAAACAUUGAUUUUUAUUUGAUAUAUAGUGUGUGUUUACCAGAGACAGUAAUGUAAAGAACAACAUGACCUGCACCAAAGUCAGAUUAGGAUAUAGGACAAGAUGAAGUGUAUUUUUACCUGGAGUUUUCCUUAUUGUAGUUUACUACGUCUACCACUUGUCUUAAUCUUUGGUUGUUUACUACGCAAUCUUACUCACUCUGUUUAGCACAUGGCCUCACAUGUGAAUCCUUAAAGAGAUGGGUGGGG
rnacentral:lncRNA from 1 species